rnacentral:lncRNA from 1 species
AGAGCCUUCUCAUCUCCCAGGGGAGGAGGAAGGAUAGCAGUAGAUACUUAAAAUGCUCCUUGCCUCCCAUUUGCUCAGUUCUGAAUCCAGGUCUUGCUAAAGCAAAAGAGUUAGUGCCAUCUUCAGAUUAGAAUUGGGGGAGGAUGUGAUCAUACCUACCCAUCAGUAGUCCUACGGAGGCAUGGGGCUUCCUACCGACUCUCCAGGGGAAAUGGGGGCCUGUAGGGUUUCUGGUGAUGGUGGCUGACAGGCCAUCCUCACCAGUCACCAAACCACUCAGGUAGGCCAUAAUCAGAGGAUGAUGAGGCGGUCCUGCUGACUACCUGAGGCCAGCCCGCAUGCCGGCUGGCCAGCCUAAAGGGCAGUCCCUGUGCCCAGGCAAGGGCAUGCUGCAUCUUCAGAAUGGAAACGCACCUCAUCACUGGCAGGCCACCAGGGCCAUCACAAGGUGUAGGAGCCACCAUCCCUGUCCCCUCUUCUCUACCCUCCUCCCACACCAUUCCUAGCCCUGUCUUUUGCAAUGCUUAGAUAAUAGUCCAUAUGGCCUGACAGAACAGGGACCACUCAUAAAAUAAUUGUCAUCAAAUGCUAGCUGUGUGCCCACCAGGAAAGGGGGGCAGGGGAGUACAGAAGAAUAUCAGUCAGUCAGUCUGACAAGCCCAGGCUUGAGUCCCAGUCCAUGGCCCCCGAACCAACCUGGCCAAGUUACUUCACUUCUCUGAGCCUCAAAUUCCUCUUCUGUACAAUGAGGAAAAUAAUGCUCACCCUUCAGAAAGUUGUUAUGAUUUAAAAUGCAACAACAUAUGUCAAGUAUAUAGACAGUGCCUGAUAAGUCACAGCUAAAAAUAUUUUUUUUCUUCAGAGUCAUAUAUAAGAUAAUAACAAAACAGAUCUGAUAAUGUCAUCCUAAGCUUAACACUCUUCAUUGGGUCCACAUUGUCUGCAGGAUAAAGUCCAUCCAUUGCCAUCAAAUUGCUCCAGCCUAAAUGUCCCAGCCUCAUCUCCCAUAAUGCCACUCUGCACCCUGUGCCGCUCCAAGUUGUCCAAGCAGAAUUUGUGUGUUUAUGCUUUUACUUUUGAAAUCCCCUCUGCUUGUACAACCCUCCUAUAUUCUAUAGUCCUCAGGACCCAACCUUUCAGAGAAACCUUCUUUAAUUCUCCACUCCCUCUCCCAAUCAAAAUCAAUACAAGUGACAUUCUUCUGUGUUCCCGUGGCAUUUUGCAUACACCCUUUCUAAAGUACAUAAUGCCUAUGUGUGUGAUGAUUAUGUACACAUCUGUCUCUUUCCCUGUACUCAAAGCUCCUUGCAGACAGUCUUACAUAGCAUGGCGACUCCAGUCCCAGCACUGCUUACCCCACGGAUCGGGAAGAUGGAGGCUCCUGAAGAGCUGUAGAAGCGCAUCCUAGGCAGAAGCCCAGCAGACAGCAAAGGGCCUGGUUUGUUCAAGGAACUGGAGGGCAAGAAAAUCAGGAGCCAAUUCAUGCAGGGCACAGUUAGCCAAGGCAGGAGGCAAUCAUGCUCACCCUCUUCCACAGCCGGACUCACUCAGGAGGCCCUUCAUCUUCAUGUUCCCCACAUAGCAGAGGGGAGGGCAGAAGAUGAGAGGGAGGAGAGAGCAGAGCCAAGAGCCUCCUUUUCUCCCACUGUGCCCCUCCUAUGUGUGGCUCUGGACACCAGGAACCACCCAAGGACAGUGGGACUCCUCGAAAAGAUAAUUGCUCAUGAGGGAUCCAAGAGCAAGGCUUGUUACAUCCUAUAACCUUCACACAAAAUAUUGACUGAGAAUCCUCCAUGUGCCAAGUACUGUUCAAAAACACUGGGAACCCAGCAGGGAUGAGCCACAAGUUUCCUUGUCUUUACGAAGCUUUCAUUCUGAGGGAGUGGAGAGAGACAAGCAAUAAACAACCAAUCAAAACAAAGAUGACUCCUCUGAGUGUUGUGAUAUGCGGGUCAAGGAGGAUGGCUCCCAGGAUGUGACCUCAGAGCAGAAGCCUGGAGGCUUGCCAGCAGCGGGAAGAGCAGCGGCAGGGCACUGCAGGCAGAGGUGACCAAAAGCGUGAAACCUUGAGCUGGGAAGCACGUGGUCUGCUGGAAAGUGGGCUGAUGUAUUUGAAGAGAGCAAGGAGCAGAAUGGUACAAUGGGGUGAUGGGGGAAGAGCCAGGCAGAGCCCAGUGCUGCAAAGCCCGGUAGCACAUACAUGUGUAACGUACCUUGAAGCAAAUGAAUGGCCUGAUCUGGUUUCUGUUUUGGCUGCUCUGUGGUGAUGUGGUGCCUGGGAGGCAAAGAAGCUGGGAAAGAAGCGGUUUUUCUCUUCUAGGUACUUUAAAGCUCUAUAAUAUAUGCUCAGGUGAAAUUUGGCUGGUAUUUUCAGGGACUUCACUGCUUUUGUGCCAUACUGGCCUCAUCAUGUAGAUAACAUCACGGAUUCAUUCCAUCUUAUUAUUCUGUAAGAGUGAUGUCUAAUUUUUUUAAAAAAGAAUCAGCUUUAAAAAAUGCAAAGUCUCAUAGAAAGUAACUCUUUUCUAUUUUAAGCAAGCAUUCAGAAUAUUAGCAGUGCUAAUCAGUACCUCACUAAACAGUUAUGACUGAUUCUAAGUGCAAAGUGGGGAAUGAGAGUAACAGAGAGUAUUUACUGGCUGCUAAAAGCAGGUACAAUGGGGAGCAUGCUAGAGAAACUGUCUCACUGAAUCCUCGGAUGACCCCAUGGUGUAGGUAAUACUGGAGAAACUGAGGCUGCAGUGGCCACAUGACUUGCACAAGGCCACCCAGUAAGAAUGGGAUAGAACAAGAGCCCAUGUCCAUAACCCCUCUCCUACUACGCUAAGGUCAGGGUGGCCCUUUAAGGUGACCAAAGGGUUAGAAAUAACAAACAAGAGUGGAUGAACCUAGGUUUAUUUUGUCUGGAGGAGAGAAAUCUUUGAGAGUGAUUAAUUAAAGCAUAUUCAGGAUAUUUUUUAAAUAAACGGAGAGAGCUGUUCUCCAUCAUCCCUAAUGGUAGAAGAAAAGGCCUUCACCCUCAGCCUGGCAGGUGAAGACAGAGAUAAAGAAUGUGCAGACUGUGGGAUCUUGCUGGGAGGGAGGCAGGACUCACCUACCUAGUCUGUCUCUGAUGCAUUUCUUUGGAAAAUGCAUGUUGACAGUGCUUCUAAAAGUAAUCAUAUGAGCUGCCUGAAAAGGUCAACUUUCAACUCUGGUAAAGAUUGGGAUGCCUUUUCCAGAUUAAUUCCACAUUGGUGUUUGUGGGCAAUGCUGAAACAAAAGAAAAUCCAGGCUAGCCAAAACUUUUCACAUAAAUAGUGACAAAAGCAACCGAGUGGCUGGACAGAUUUGAGACAGGAACAGCCCGAGGACUACAGCAGGGGCUCCCAGUCUGGAGACUCUAACAUAGAUCUCCAGAUGACCCCAAUGACUGGGAAUUGCUUUUACUCUGGACAGCCUGCUGGGCGGCCCCAGUUGACUGUCCCGGGUAUGUCCCGGGUCGCUAACCACUUUGACUGCCCCUGAGCCACAGAGUCAGGCAGGAGUCAGGGACACGUAGGUACUCUCUUCUCCCUGCCCCUCACCUUCCUUCAGGGCCACCUCGGCCACAAAGGCUGGCUCCACAUCAGUCAGCUACUCAGACAUGCUCUCGCCUCACCUCCU